UACGUAGGGUGCGAGCGUUAAUCGGAAUUACUGGGCGUAAAGCGUGCGCAGGCGGUUCGUUGUGUCGGUGGUGAAAGCCCCGGGCUUAACCUGGGAAUGGCCAUGGAAACUGGCGAACUGGAGUGUGGCAGAGGGGGGUGGAAUUCCGCGUGUAGCAGUGAAAUGCGCAGAUAUCAGGAGGAACACCGGUGGCGAAGGCGGGUCUCUGGGCCGAAACUGACGCUGAGGAGCGAAAGCGUGGGGAGCAAACAGG
rnacentral:rRNA from 1 species